rnacentral:rRNA from 1 species
UACGAAGGGGGCUAGCGUUGCUCGGAAUGACUGGGCGUAAAGGGCGCGUAGGCGGCGUGUUUUGUCGGGCGUGAAAUUCCAGGGCUUAACCUUGGGGCUGCGUUCGAGACGGGCAUUCUUGAGUAUGGAAGAGGGUCGUGGAAUUCCCAGUGUAGAGGUGAAAUUCGUAGAUAUUGGGAAGAACACCGGUGGCGAAGGCGGCGACCUGGUCCAAGACUGACGCUGAGGCGCGAAAGCGUGGGGAGCAAACAGG